AGUACCUGUGUUUCUCAUCCCUCCUAUCUCUCUCCCCCUCUCCUCCAGGUGUCAGUAUGUUGACAGAGUUGCCAGACAAACAUGGUGACUACUUCCUCUGCCGCUGCUGUUCUCACAGGAUGUUUACGUCAUCCCUCAUUGGACACCUAAUCUCUGCUCGACACCGCUACCACUACAUAAAACUAGUGUACCCUGAGCUGGCUGCUGAUUGGCCAGUGAGCCCAGAGCUGACGGUGAAGGCGGGGCCUCUUCAUGAGGAGCUCAGAGUGAGAGCUGCAGAACUGGAGGCACAGGAGGGACUAGGACAGCCCACGGUAAUUAAUAACCUAUAAUCAUCUAAUCAAUAUCUGUUUGAUCACUGCCCUUAUCAAUUCACUGAACUGAAAACACAGAAGGGAACGGGACAACCCACGAUAAUCUAUAACAUAUAAUCAUCUAAUUGUAGGGUUCUGAGUCUUGACGGUUUUUAAGAAAUUGAGAACAACAAACACUUGAAUAAAUAUUUUAAUAAAGCCGGGAAGCAUACAAACAAGUCAACAAACCCAAACAGCAGUGUAUAUAGGAGAGUCUCUGCCUCCUGUGGAAUCUAUGCAUAAACAGUCAUAAAUCUCGAUGGACCAACCAAAUGUAAAUGAAUACCAGAUGUUUCUUGCCGUAUUGGGGGAAGGGGGUCAGUCAUUCUAACUUUGACGUCCCCCAGAUAACAACUUGGACUGUAACGUAUGGUGGUCUAACAGGCUCACAAGGCCUUGCAGUUACAUUGCAAAGGGCCCUAGGCUCCUUAGGGUUGACUGGUGUGCCUCUAACAUACUGGGUAACCCACAAGGAUUUAAAGGUACUUCUGGUGUGUAAACUGCAUUAUGGUUAAAACAGACUCUUUUUAUUUUUUUAAUAGACUGUAUGGUUUAAACAGACGAUGUGGGUUAAACAGACGAUGUGGGUUAAACAGACGAUGUGGUUUAAACAGACGAUCCAUAGCUGAAACCAUAACGAACUGGUUCACCGCACAAAUGUUUUGGUAAAAAGCUGAGCGGUGGCGCUUGAGAAAUGUACCCACUCUCAAAUUCAUAGACAAGGACUGACCAUCCAUGAUAUCAAAAGUUAUGGUUUUAAUCAUGUUUGUUUACUUUAUUUUGCUAAAAAACAUUGGAGUACGUGCUGACCAGACCGCUCACGCAGGUUGAUUUUGUCCUCCUACACCAGACGCCAUCAGGACACGCAGGUUGAUUUUGUCCUCCUACACCAGACGCCAUCAGGACACGCAGGUUGAUUUUGUCCUCCUACACCAGACGCCAUCAGGACACGCAGGUUGAUUUUGUCCUCCUACACCAGACGCCAUCAGGACACGCAGGUUGAUUUUGUCCUCCUACACCAGACGCCAUCAGGACACGCAGGUUGAUUUUGUCCUCCUACACCAGACGCCAUCAGGACACGCAGGUUGAUUUUGUCCUCCUACACCAGACGCCAUCAGGACACGCAGGUUGAUUUUGUCCUCCUACACCAGACGCCAUCAGGACACGCAGGUUGAUUUUGUCCUCCUACACCAGACGCCAUCAGGACACGCAGGUUGAUUUUGUCCUCCUACACCAGACGCCAUCAGGACACGCAGGUUGAUUUUGUCCUCCUACACCAGACGCCAUCAGGACACGCAGGUUGAUUUUGUCCUCCUACACCAGACGCCAUCAGGACACGCAGGUUGAAAUGUCAAAACAAACUCUGAACCAACUACAUUAAUUUGGGGACAGGUCAAAAAGCAUUAAACAUUUAUGGUAAUUUAGCUAGCUAGCUUGAUGUUUCUAGCUAAUUUGUCCUGGGAUAUAAUCAUUGGGUUGUUAUUUGACCUGAAAUGCACAAGGUCCACUACUUCGACAAUUAAUCCACAGAUAAAAGGGUAAACCUAGUACUAGAAAUGAAAUCUCUCCUCCUUCAGGCUUCUUCUUCUUUGGACUUUAUAUGGUGGUUGGAAACCAACUUUAAGGUGCAUUACCACCACCAAGUUGAUUGGAGUGUGGACCUCAGUUCAUCUUUCAAUCACCCAUGUGGGUAUAUGCUCCUAAAAACCAAUGAGGAGAUGGGAGAGGCGGGACUUGCAGCGCAUCAAGCGUCACAAAUGGAACCAAAUUCUAUUUUAGCGCCUGGCUACGCAGAUGCUCGUUGACGCGCACGGACAGUGUGGGUGCAAUGAUUGAAUAACAUUUGUGUACAUUUAUUUUGUGACGCGAGCGGCGUGGUCAGCAUGUUAUAGUUUGGGUUCUGAUGGAUACAACAGUUCAUGAGGCGUUUGAGUUCUAUUCUUCAAGAAUCAAUAUCAGUAGUGUAGCAACUGCAGAUUGCUCCUUUAACAGACUAUAUGGUUAAAACCCUUCAAAAUCAAUAUCUGUCUGAUUACUGCCCUUAUCAAUACACUGAACUGGAGACACAGGAGGGAACGGGACAACCCACAGCAAACUCCUCCAUCAAAUAAUGAAUUCAUCAACCAAUCAAUCUCUCAAUAAACCAAUCAAUCAAACGUACAUCAAUCAUAUGAUCUGUUCUGUUAUGAAGGUGGUAAAGAGAGAACCAGCUGCUGGAGACACAACCACUACUGAAGGUAAGACGCACGCACACACAAACACACACAUGCACGCACACACACACAAACAUACACACACUCACCUCCUGUGAAUGGUUUUGUGUGUGUUUCAGGGACUGCCCAGCAGAGCCAGAACAGCUCACCUCUCACUGUGAAAGAGGAACCGGUUGACUCCACAGUACCGUCCCAGCCCCCUAGAGGAGAGAAGAGGAACAAGAGGAGGAGCAACCCUGUGGUUGGUCAGUAUUCCUGUUAUCAAGGCUGCCAUUGGUUGGUUCAUCAGUCUCUCAGUUUGGACAGUAUCUCAAGUUUGGACCGUAAUACUAUUUUGAAGUGACCUGUGCGUGUGUGUGUGUAGGUGUGAACUUCCUGGUCCAGGUGUCCCACAGGAGAAGGAAACAGUACUACU
rnacentral:lncRNA from 1 species